UUUUUUUUUUUUUUUUUUUUUUGUAAUGAUCACAGGCCGGUGGAGGACAGGAGGGGCUGGAGUUUCCUUUUGUAGAGGUACCCUUCACUUGAAGAAGCAGGAAGAAAAAAAAAGCCCUGAUGGCAAUUUAAGAAACAAUAGACUCAACUCGCGCUGCCGGCUUUGCUACUUCAAGUGUCAUUUUCCACAACCAGGCAAGUUUUUUCCUCUCUCUCUCUUUUUUUUCCUCCUUCUCUCCCAACCAAAGAUGUUUCUUUCCUUUCAGUGCGUUUAGAUGAGGACGCUGGUUGCCGUAGACAGAUACACCAGAGAGGGAGAGUGGGGUGGGGGGAAGGGGGGAGAGAGAGGGAAAGAGGAAGGGGGGGAGGGAAAGACAGAGAGAGAAAGAGAAAGAGAGAGAGGAGAGGGAGAAAGAGAGAGGGGUGGACCCUGCUGGAUGGAGAUUCUGUUUUCUCCUUGCUAAAAUAGAAGUGAUUUGCAGGCUUUCCCUAUGGAAUCCAGUUUGACUCUCCCCAGAGCUAAACACAGGCACACUAACCCCAAAGGGAGGAGGCGGGGCUCGCGCCUCACGGCCCCGCCCCUUCAUUUGCAUAACGCCAUCCUUCCGCCAAGCUGCAGCCAAUCGCGGCUUAAGAAGUCUUCUGGCUCGCCGCGCUGGGCCACGCUCCCUCAUUAACAUCCCUCUCCGGGUGGCGCAGGGGAGCUAGCCAAAGUUCCUCGCAAAGUGGCGAGCGAAGGAUCGCUGAGCACCAGCGUCUGUGCUGGGAAGGAGCUGGGCACAGCUGGGCAGAGCCGGGCUGGAGAGGGGAAACAGACGGAAGGGAAGGGCGAUGUUUUUCUCAGGGAUUUGAACUGGGGUCUGCAUCCUGGUCGUUGCGGUCCUUUUAGCAUCCUCGCCACGCCCUGAGCGCGCUCGCGGUUCACAGGCUGCGCCCUCCCAGGGCCGAUGCUGCGUCCUGCUCCGCUGUUCUGGGACGUCGGGGGCAAAAGUGGAGGAGACGGGAGAGCCCGGGCAGAAAAAGCAGGAAGCGCGUCCCAGAGGAGGAGCUGAGGUUUUGAUUUGCCCGUGGCGUGUGGCUAGCAAGCAGUGGGGCUUGACUGUAACCCAGGAGCCACACUGCCUAUGAAAUUAAGAAAGCUGUCUGCUACCUUACUUACUUCUGUCAACCAAUUCCUGGUUUCUCUCUUCUCUGGACACCCAAAAAAGAUUAUGGCCCUCUCUUUGAAGUUAGUGUGGUCAUCUGACUUCGUUGAGCCAGAGCAUUUCCUUAAAGGAACAAAGAGGAAAGAGUGACUAGAAGACUCUAGUGCAGAGUUGGUCUGUGGAGAACUGCUGUAUGUCUUAUUCCUGGGCCAUUGCUAGACAGCAUUUCUCAACAUCCCUAGCAGCUGCUUUGGCUAUAUGACUGAGUUCUGGCAAAUGAAAAGUAGGUGGGAUUGAUGGAAGCCAUUUUCAGAUAUAGUUCAUAAAAACCUCCCACACAGUCUUGCACUCCUCUUCCUCCCCUUCUGCGGACUAAUCAGAAAAUCCAAAGUGAUAUUCUAAUGCUAGGGCAGGCUUAGCAAAGGUUUUCUGUCAAGAUCCUGAUAGGCAAUAUUUUAUAAUUCAUGAGCCUGUUGCAACUACCUUAGUGUGAGAGCAGCUACAAAGCACAGGUGAUACAUGAUGAAUCGGUGUGGCUGUGUCUCAAUAAAACUUUAUUUACAAAGAAAAAAUUUAUAAAAACUCUAGAUCAGAUUUUGUCCAUGACUCAUAGAUUGCUGACCCUGCUCUAGGAUAUGUCAGAAUCACAACAUAGAAGGAUUCUGGCCCCUAAAUGACUGCAUGGGGAAAUAAACUUUAUACAAGCAAGAAAUAAACUUCUCUUAUGUUAAGUCAUUGAGAUUCUAGGGUUGUUUCAGCAUUAGCUUACUCCAGUACUGUUGGAGGAGGUUAUCGAGGGGACAUGACCUCAGGUUGACCCAACGAUCUGAACCUGGGCAAUUGGCUCCUCCUCCCCUCCCCUGCACUUCAGAUGCACAUUUUGCAUAGCAUUCCACAGUGGGCACUGUUUUCAAAGAUGCAGCUUUAAGAGAACAGUGUGCUGUUGAGACCAUCUGGACAGUAUAUGUGACUGAACCCAAUUAAGGUCUCUAUAUAAACUUUUAAGGUUCUGGCGGGCACGUGCAGAGAUUUACCUGUCUUGUUACCUGCCAAGAUGAGCCUCAUGUGUAAGUUCCCUUGCUUAUUAAGUCUGCCACCAGAAAUCCAAGAAUACCACCACCUACCAAGAGUGGUCUUCCUCUUUCUUCGGUUUUUCCUUGCCCUCCACGUACAGAAGCCAGGUCCAGAUUUAAUUCAGGAUGCUCCUGAGGUUUCAAAUCAACAGAAAAAGUACCUGGUCACAAAGAUGGAUUUUUAUAAAUAUUAGAUUUCCCCUUCUUCCUUACAUUCCUUUGAAGACAGGCUUAUUCAUUUGUCAUAGAAUCUUCCCAAUACGUGUUAGUGAGACAAUUAAACCACAAUCAGAUAAAUAAUUGUAUGCAUGAAGCACGCAUAUCAUGCAAUGCUUAUGACAUUCCAAGUUGUUGCUGUCACCUCUCUCCAUCCUACCACCUAAUUCCUAGAUGCAUAUCUGAAUUGUUUUGUGCUGCCUUCCAGAUAACCAAAGACACACAUUUGGGAAACAGUUUGCUUGGGUAAAGUGAAUAGAGCUUGGUUACUUGGUUCACUGUAUGUAAAUGGAUUGCUCUGUCUUACAUUAAGUCUCUGGAAUGUGUUACAAAGUCAGCUUUGGGUUAUUACUCAGCUACUUUGUAGCCUGUCAGUGUAAUUUGGUAUCUUUACUCCUAAUUUAUAAUCAGGGAGCCUGAGACCCAAAAGGGUUAAAGAACUUUUCCAAUGUCAUAUUCUGGCAAUAUCCAAAAGCUAGGCCCACCUGAAUCCCAAAUGUCACACUAUCAAGAUUUGGAUUCUGAAGCCUCUGGAAUCUUAUCCACCUUCCCUACUUGACAUGUAUUUGUUGGGGAACAAUUAACCUCAAGAUGAGUAAUUUGCCACCAUUCUGUAUGUAUUUCAAAUUUUCCCAUUACACAAGGAAAAUGAGAAAAAUAUGUCCUAGAUAACACAAAGAAAAAUGCUUCAUUGUCUUAAUUGCCUUUCUAUUUCAAUCAAGAAAGGCAUUUAAUUAUUUCUGAACUACAUUCAAAACUCUCUCUCAAGAAUAUUACUCUCCUCAGGUGGGUUAACCAAACCUGUGCAAAAUAUUUCUCAAGUCUGAAUAUUAAUAUCAAACAUUUAUUGAGUAUUUUUAUAUGUCAAUGCCAAUUUAAAUGCUUUCCAUUUACGAUCUCAUUUAUUCCUCACAGCAAGUCUGUGAAGUGGAAAUAGUCAUUAUUCUGCUCAAACAAAUGAGGAAACUGAGGUUCAGAGAGGUGAGAGAGCUUGUCUAAGUUCGAAAGGCAGUAAGUGGUGAAGUCAACAUUCAAUCCUCGGCCACCCCUUCAGGCCACAUUGCUCCCCUCGCUACUCUGCUGUGCUGACUCUGAACAGAGCUAUGCUUUCCCCCUUUGAGUAUAUGUGAAAAACCAAUAUGGAAGACUCACCCAAGAUGACUUGAGUCAGCUACUCAAGGGUCAGUCAGAAGCUCAAGCCUCUAGAAUUUGAGGUGGGUCAUCUAAGGGCUAUGGAAUCAGAAGGGGCAGAAUCUGUCCGGCUUCUUGCACAAUCAGAGGAAGGAAGUGCUUGUUGCUUAACACCGCUUCCCUGGGCCCUGAAAAUGCCCACAUGACAUCCACCCAGUGGCCUACUUUGACUUCAUUAUCGCUGUUGGAAACCGCAAAGAGAGGGAACAGCAUUUCUAUGAUAUGUACUUUAUGGCCAUUACUCUUACCUCAUUAUUCUUACUUCACUUAAAAACAAAAAAUAAAGAACAAUCAACUCAGUAUUUACACUCUAAAAUUGAUUGGCAUGAGCAUGUGUGUUUUAUUAGUAAGAAAAAGAAAGUAUUUUCUGGCAUGAUGGACUAUACCCUUUGAAAAGCAUACAGUACUUGAACUGUGUGGGCCACAUCAGUAGGAAAGAUGGCACCUGCAAUUGUUUGGAAGGAUUUUAAACUUCAUAAUAGGUAAGCUUAGGACAGUAAUAGUAUCCUUACAUCUUCAGACCAAAAUAUUGUAUAGUUUGGGCUAAAAAAAAAAUGUUCAGUCUUCACAGUAGUUUUAGUCUUAAUACCACAGUUAUUUUUUUUUUUAAUUUUUUUUUAACGUUUAUUUAUUUUUGAGACAGAGAGAGACACAGCAUGAACAGGGGAGGGGCAGAGAGAGAGGGAGACACAGAAUCCGAAGCAGGCUCCAGGCUCUGAGCCAUCAGCCCAGAGCCCGACGCGGGGCUCAAACUCACGGACCGCGAGAUCAUGACCUGAGCUGAAGUCGGAUGCUCAACCGACUGAGCCACCCAGGCGCCCCAAUACCACAGUUAUUUUUAACCAUCUUAAUGAAAAGAUUCUAUUUCAUUAACCUUGCCUGAGGCCAUGUAUGAGAAAACAUUGAUGUUUUUAAAAUAUGAAAUAUAACCUCCAUUCCCAAUAAACAAGAGCAAUGGUGCA